GACCAGACCACCCCUCUUCCCCUUCACACUGGAGAGGGAGACCCAUAUAAAGGGGAUCCCCCUCCACGUGUAAAUCUGAGGAAGAGAGUGGAACAAUCCCACAACAUAAGUAUAUCACAUUCAGAAAGCGUGAUUUAUUUAUUUUAAGUUGACUGUGUCCCUGUUAUGUUUCCAUUACUUAUUAAAGACACAGAUAGUAGAGCUGACCAAGGAGAAUCGCAUAUACUUUCCAUUUUAUACUGCAGUCCUGUGGUCUGAAGAAAUAGGUAGACAUACUUUUUCAAAUCCUAUUUUUCUUGCAGCUGCUUCUUCUUCUUCUUUUUGUUAAAAAAGAACUUGCAUCAUUCCUAUUUUCUACAUAGGAAAGAAAGGAAGCCUUUUCAGACAGUAGGCACAAGAAUCAACCUAUCUCAUCAAAUGAAUGUGUGUUCUUCUAACUACAAAGCUAUCCGUAUCAGUUAUGUCUGAAAUGGAAGGUGGGAAAACCUAUAUUACUGAGUUCCAGCUGUUUCUGAAUUUCCCCUGCAUACAAAGGAAGUCAGAGAAAUAAACUUGUCUAUGCAAAUCGCCAGGAG